CUUUAAAAGACUAUCAUCAAGAAAUCUAAAAAAACAACAACAAAGCAAGCAAGCAAGCAAGCAAGCAAGCAAGAGCCGAGCUGGUCGGUCUUGUCUAGCAGGUGCUUCUGCUGUUUCACCUUUUGAGAUCUGCCGUAAGCAUAACACUGCCAAGAGAACACCUUCACUGCAGUGGUGAGAAUGGGAGAUCAUCAAAAAGAAGGGAAAAACUGCAGAUGAUCAUUUGUUCUCCAAUUAAAAAAGGAAAUUCAACUAGAUUUUUUUGCAUGCUGGAACUUCCCC